UAUCACCUGUCAUCAAUAAAACCUGCAAAAAGUUAGCUACAGUGACAAUCCUAGCAAGUGUGGAGUAUGCAAUCAUGGUGCUGAAUGCAGUGACAAAGUUUUGCGGUUAAUGACUGCAUGUCUUUAAGUCUGACGAUUUGUGAGAAUUACCAAAAAAGCAAGCUGUCAUCUUGAAGAAAAAGAAAUAAUUAGGUUGUACGAGAAACUCCUAACAUAAGAUGAAUAAAAUAAGGUCUAGCUGCAUGGCAUCAAUAGUAUAAGUUUAUCCUAUUUGGUUCAUACAAAUGCAGAGAGGUCAGGACCACCAUUCAACUACUUUUCACCAAACCUAUCUGAUCAAAGGAUCAACAAUCACACAUCAUGUGUUGUUUAAAUGCUUGGACAAACAAGAAGACAUAUUAAGACCAAAAUAUGAAUGCACUGGUCCAAUUAAAGUAUCAGCAAAGGGAUAUGAAUACUAAACAAACCCCACUCAUCAAAAAAACAAAGUUGCAAAAUACUACCAAUUAGA
rnacentral:misc_RNA from 1 species